rnacentral:rRNA from 1 species
GAUGAACGCUAGCGGCAGGCUUAACACAUGCAAGUCGAGGGGUAGCGGCUUUCGGGCCUUGAGACCGGCGCACGGGUGCGUAACGCGUAUGCAAUCUGCCUUUCACAGAGGGAGAGCCCAGAGAAAUUUGGAUUAAUACCUCAUAGCAUAACACAACCGCAUGGUUGAGCUAUUAAAGUCACAACGGAGAAAGAUGAGCAUGCGUGCCAUUAGUUAGUUGGUAAGGUAACGGCUUACCAAGACUUCGAUGGGUAGGGGUCCGGAGAGGGAGAGCCCCCACACUGGUACUGAGACCCGGACCAGACCCCUACGGGAGGCAGCAGUGAGGAAUAUUGGUCAAGGGGCGCAAGCCUGAACCAGCCAUGCCGCGUGCAGGAUGACGGUCCUAUGGAUUGUAAACUGCUUUUGUACGAGAAGAAACACUCCUUCGUGAAGGAGCUUGACGGUAUCGUAAGAAUAAGGAUCGGCUAACUCCGUGCCAGCAGCCGCCGUAA